UGGUGGGAUGAAAUCCAUCCUUGUCAGCGGUGUAAUCAACCCUUUAAUCAAAUCAAUUUUUGAUAUGUUUUUAGUGAUUUGGCUCUUAUGAUAAGAAGAAAAUAUUAAUAUCUUUUAUAUCUUUUUAUUUAAUAUUUUUAAUUUAACUGUGAAACCCACCGUCUUCAUGGCAAAAACUUCUUCGUGCGAAUUGGACUUCUGUCCCUUCGUCCUUAAACGACGAGUGAUACGUGACACCAAGGAUCCACGGUGCAUCUGCCUUUAUAUAGUCGGAAAAUCGCGGGUGUUGCAUCCCCACCUGGUAUUAGACUUGUCGGAGAUUCGCGGAUCAGUCUCUCCCCUAACAGUGCUAGAACGCAUCCGCGAUGCAACGAUGCAAGUGUCUCUUCUUCGGAAGAGCGUUUGCAUUCUUUGCUUGAUGCUGUUUGUCUUCAAUACUGUCGAUACAUAUUUAUACCUUAAGAAAGGUGACAGUUUCAAUAAAAAUUUCAAAUAAAAUUUAGAACUUAAAAUGCAUAUAAGUAGCAAUAAUAAUAAUUAUAAUGAUA